rnacentral:rRNA from 1 species
UAGCAAUACCGUGGAAAGUCUAGUGGCGAACGGUUGCGUAAAACGUGGGCAAUCUGCCUUAAAGUGGGGGAUAGCUCGGCGAAAGCCGGAUUAAUACCGCAUGUGAUUACCGGAGACAUCUUCGGAACAUCAAAGUCGGGGCAACCUGACGCUUUUUGAGGAGCCCGCGGCCUAUCAGCUAGUUGGUGAGGUAACGGCUCACCAAGGCUUUGACGGGUAGCUGGUCUGAGAGGACGACCAGUCACACUGGAACUGAGACACGGUCCAGACACCUACGGGUGGCAGCAGUCGAGAAUUUUUCUCAAUGGGGGAAACCCUGAAGGAGCGACGCCGCGUGGAGGAUGAAGGUCUUCGGGUUGUAAACUCCUGUCAUUUGGGAACAAUGCUUACGUAUUAACUGUACGUGAGUUGAUAGUACCAGAAGAGGAAGAGACGGCUAACUCUGUGCCAGCAGCCGCGGUAAUACAGAGGUCUCAAGCGUUGUUCGGAUUCAUUGGGCGUAAAGGGUGUGUAGGUGGCGCGCUAAGUCGGGUGUGAAAUUUCGGAGCUUAACUCCGAAACUGCAUUCGAUACUGGCGUGCUUGAGGACUGGGGAGGAGACUGGAAUUCACGGUGUAGCA